AUGGGAGGAAGAGGGGGAGUAGCAAGCGGAGGAGGAGGGGGGCGGCGGCAGGAGCGGCAGGCGCUGAUGCUGGCGUUCGCGGUGGCGCUGCUGAUGGGCACCGCCGUCUACUUCCGCAUCUGGGCGCGCCAGUCCGACGACCCCUCCUUCACCGCCGACGACCGCGAGGAGCUCCGGAGGCAGUUCGAGCAUGCUAACCUAGAGGCAAUGGAUGAAUCCGCUGAAUGGAGAAUGAAAUACGACACGGAAUUGGCGAAAAACAGGGACCUGCAAGAUGAACUUUUAAAGGUCAAGACCUCACUGUCUGAUUCAACCAAGAGAUUUGAAGAGUUACAAAAGGAUAAUGAGAUGUUGAAGAGGCAGACUGAAUCCAUGAAACUGGAGUGCAAUUGCACCGUUCCAUUGAAUAUUAAUCAGGAAUAA
rnacentral:rRNA from 1 species